rnacentral:rRNA from 1 species
GAACGAUGAAGUCCUAGCUUGCUAGAUGGAUUAUGGCGCACGGGUGAGUAAUAUAUAGUUAAUCUGCCCUACACAGAGGAACAACAGUUGGAAACGGCUGCUAAUACCUCAUACUCCUAUUUGACAUAAGUUAAAUAGGGAAAGUCUUUUCGGUGUAGGAUGAGACUAUAUCGUAUCAGCUGGUUGGUAAGGUAAUGGCUUACCAAGGCUAUGACGCGUAACUGGUCUGAGAGGAUGAUCGGUCACAUUGGAACUGAGACACGGUCCAAACUCCUACGGGAGGCAGCAGUAAGGAAUAUUGCGCAAUGGGGGAAACCCUGACGCAGCAACGCCGCGUGGAGGAUGACACUUUUCGGAGCGUAAACUCCUUUUAUCAGGAAAGAAUAAUGACGGUACCUGAUGAAUAAGCACCGGCUAACUCCGUGCCAGCAGCCGCGGUAAUACGGGGGGUGCAAGCGUUACUCGGAAUCACUGGGCGUAAAGGACGCGUAGGCGGAUUAUCAAGUCUUUUGUGAAAUCUAGUGGCUUAACCACUAAACUGCUUAGGAAACUGAUAGUCUAGAGUAGGGGAGAGGUAGAUGGAAUUCUUGGUGUAGGGGUAAAAUCCGUAGAGAUCAAGAAGAAUACCCAUUGCGAAAGCGAUCUGCUGGAACCUAACUGACGCUGAGGCGUGAAAGCGUGGGUAGCAAACAGGAUUAGAUACCCUGGUAGUCCACGCCCUAAACGAUGUAUACUAGUUGUUGCUUUGCUAGUCAAGGCAGUAAUGCAGCUAACGCAUUAAGUAUACCGCCUGGGGAGUACGUCGCAAGAUAA